rnacentral:rRNA from 1 species
GAUGAACGCUAGCGGGAGGCCUAACACAUGCAAGCCGAGCGGUAUUGUUUCUUCUGACAUGAGAGAGCGGCGUACGGGUGCGUAACACGUGUGCAACCUGCCUUUAUCUGGGGGAUAGCCUUUCGAAAGGAAGAUUAAUACUCCAUAAUACAUUGAACGGCAUCGUUUAAUAUUGAAAGCUCCGGCGGAUAGAGAUGGGCACGCGCAAGAUUAGCUAGUUGGUGAGGUAACGGCUCACCAAGGCGAUGAUCUUUAGGGGGCCUGAGAGGGUGAUCCCCCACACGGGUACUGAGACACGGACCAGACUCCUACGGGAGGCAGCAGUGAGGAAUAGUGGGCAAUGGGUGCAAGCCUGAACCAGCCAUCCCGCGUGAAGGACGACUGCCCUAUGGGUUGUAAACUUCUUUUGUAUAGGGAUAAACCUACCCUCGUGAGGGUAGCUGAAGGUACUAUACGAAUAAGCACCGGCUAACUCCGUG